rnacentral:rRNA from 1 species
GAUGAACGCUAGCGGGAGGCCUAACACAUGCAAGCCGAGCGGUAUUGUUUCUUCGGAAAUGAGAGAGCGGCGUACGGGUGCGUAACACGUGUGCAACCUGCCUUUAUCUGGGGGAUAGCCUUUCGAAAGGAAGAUUAAUACUCCAUAAUAUAUUGAACGGCAUCGUUUAAUAUUGAAAGCUCCGGCGGAUAGAGAUGGGCACGCGCAAGAUUAGCUAGUUGGUGAGGUAACGGCUCACCAAGGCGAUGAUCUUUAGGGGGCCUGAGAGGGUGAUCCCCCACACUGGUACUGAGACACGGACCAGACUCCUACGGGAGGCAGCCGUGAGGAAUAUUGGUCAAUGGGUGCAAGCCUGAACCAGCCAUCCCGCGUGAAGGACGACUGCCCUAUGGGUUGUAAACUUCUUUUGUAUAGGGAUAAACCUACCCUCGAGAGGGUAGCUGAAGGUACUAUACGAAUAAGCACCGGCUAACUCCGUG